rnacentral:lncRNA from 1 species
UGGCAGCGGGAGUGAGGCUAGGAGGUGGAGAAGAAGAUCUUGGCGGCAAUAACGGGUCCCCUGAAGAGCUUAUAACAUCGUCCUUCAUGAUUACUCCUCUCUCUCUAUGUGUGUGUAUACGUGUCUCUCUCUUUCUCUCUACAGUGGCAGACCUCGGAGUCAGCUCUGUGAUGUGAGUAUGUUUCAAUGAUGCUUAUGAAAAGGAUUUUAUUUUCCGUCGCGCGUGUAUAAGACAUUACGUACAACGCGCGUGAUGAGGAAAUGGUCAUUGG